rnacentral:rRNA from 1 species
AUGCAGACCAUCGCGACCUCCCUCGGCGCGGACCGUGCUCUGGGCUGGCGCAACGACUCAUCCCCGUGCACCGACGGCUGGACCGGAGUAGCGUGCAAUGAGCGUGGGAGGGUGACGGCGAUACGCGCGCGCAACGCCAGCCUGAACGGCACACUGCCGAGGGACAUGGCGUUGCCGUGGUUGAAGGAGCUGGACCUGCGGGACAACGCCAUCACCGGCCAGCUCCCGAGCACCGUCUUCCUCCGGCUGGAGAGGCUGCGGCUGGACAACAACAAUUUCACGUCCGUGGCCGUUGGAUUCUUGGCCGCCGCCAAAUUGCUGCAGGUUUUCACCAUCAGCAACAACUCGCAGCUUCAGGGUUGGGAUCUCCCAAAUAAUCCUCACACGAUUGGCAACCUCCGAGACUACAUCGCCAACAACGCUAGCAUCACCGGGACGCUCUCGAGGUUCCUCGGCUCCUCCAACACGUUCGCCGCCCUCGACAGUCUCUCUUUGGCGAACAACCGGCUCACGGGCGAGGUGCCGACAACGUUCUCAAGCCGGACCCUCACUCACUUGGAUCUGAGUGAUAACUUCCUCUCGGGUCCGUUGGACUUCAUUGCGAAACUUCCGGAACUCGAAGAACUUCGACUCGACCGGAACAGCUUCACCGGGCCGUUACCCGACUUCAGCGGACUAUGGAGCCUCCAGGUGGUUACUCUUGCGCAUAACAAUCUCAACGGUGUUGUGCCAGCGACUCUAGUCCGACUCAGAGGUCUUGCUUCUGUCACACUAAGGGACAAUCUAUUCCAAGGGCCUGUUCCAGUGUUCGCUGAAUCGGUGCAGACUGAUGUUGCCGAGGCGUCCCUCGAUGGGAGUUUCUGUCGGCCACAGCCCAGGUCAUGUGACAACCGUGUCGAGUCCUUCAUCAGCAUCGCCGGGGCACUUCACUACCCACAGAUUCUUGCGAUGAGCUGGAAGGGGAACCACCCCUGUGAUGGGUGGCUCGGCAUCCACUGCGACAAGAGCGGCUCCAUCACCGGUGUCAACCUCUGCCGCCUUGGGCUCAUCGGCACUAUCCCCCCCGCUUUCGGUGACUUCAAGUCUCUCGUGGUGCUCCUUCUUGCAGGCAACAACAUCACCGGCGUUGUACCGCGUUCUAUCGCGGGAUUGCAGUCUCUCAAGGUUCUCGACGUCUCCGACAACUCUUUGGAGGGCACCAUGCCAAGAUUCCAGAGCACCACGAUGAUCUGGGCUGAAGGCAACCCGAACCUCGCCGUCUCAGGCACCUCCCAGACGUGCAUCUCGGGCUUCGUUGUGGCCGCCAUGACGGUCAUUGUUGUUCUGUUUGUUUGA